rnacentral:rRNA from 1 species
AUUGAACGCUGGCGGCAGGCCUAACACAUGCAAGUCGAGCGAACCUAGUUUGCUAGGUGAGCGGCGAACGGGUGAGUAACACGUAGGAAUCUGCCCGAUAGUGGGGGACAACGUCUCGAAAGGGACGCUAAUACCGCAUACGCCCUAAGGGGGAAAGCAGGGGAUCUUCGGACCUUGCGCUAUCGGAUGAGCCUGCGUCGGAUUAGCUAGUUGGCGGGGUAAAGGCCCACCAAGGCGACGAUCCGUAGCUGGUCUGAGAGGAUGAUCAGCCACACCGGAACUGAGACACGGUCCGGACUCCUACGGGAGGCAGCAGUGGGGAAUAUUGGACAAUGGGGGCAACCCUGAUCCAGCCAUGCCGCGUGUGUGAAGAAGGCCUUCGGGUUGUAAAGCACUUUAAGCGGGGAGGAAAGUUUGCUGGCUAAUAUCCAGCGGAAUUGACGUUACCCGCAGAAUAAGCACCGGCUAACUCCGUGCCAGCAGCCGCGGUAA